ACUCGAAUAAAGGUUCCGCGAGCGCACCUGCUCUCAAUUAAAGGGCUCUCAUUUAUUAAAGAUCUUAAAAAUUACUUGGUAGUGUUACCUAUUCGUGUUUGAUCUUGGACUAGAGAUAAAUUUUGAGAAGAAUAUGCAAAGUAAAGCAUCUAAAAUCAUUUAACGGUCGAUGAUCGCAACUCAGCGCCACAUCACCUUAAAUAUAAGAAAAAGCCGCUCCGUGUCGCUGCUGCUUUCUGCCGCUGCCCUUCAUAUGAAACCCAAUCCUACCGGGGAGGAAGAAACUCCGCGUAGAGAUCACACAAGGCAAACAUCAACUUAUUUCAUUAUCGCUCUGCGCGGGGGGAGGACACAGAGGAGGAAGCAAUUCCUUAGUGGGAUUUACAGCGACAAACCAAUAGAUGAUUUUUUUUUUUUUUUUU